GAGAGUAAUUAGGUGUUUGGCUUUUCAAAACUUGGAAGAAGAAAACAAUCAUGGGAUUCAUUCUCAGAAGUAAGAGUUUGUUUGAGAAGGGUCUCAGCAUAAACAAUAUCAUAAUCUUGACAGAAUAACCAGAACAUGCAAUAUAUAUAUAUGAGGAAGGAUUUAGGAAUACUUGCCUUUGGUCCUUAGCUUAUACACUCUUAGCUAACAUCCUUAUCUUAUUCUGCUUUCUCAAGACAUCACCAUCAACUAUUCCUGAUUCUUUGCUAUGUCGCUCAUGCGGUUGCUGCAGCCUGAUACGACAUCUUAUCUAACUUCAGUCUUGAUCCCCAACGUCUGGUUCUACUCGUCUCGAACAAUCCGUAGCUACUGAACCGCUAUACAACUCUCACAUUUUCUGCCCUUGCUUGGUAUCACGCCCUCAAUGCUCGAUCCUAUUAUAAGCAAACAGAUACUACUUUAGUAUCCUUCCGAAACGACUAUCCUAUUUCUACCCUUUCGUGAUAUAUAUAUACACAAAUAUAUACAUGGCACAUUAUAUAGCACAUAACAAGUAGCACACGUUAUAGUUUUAUAACUUACAACCAUCUCUGAAUAUUAUUCAACACGAGAACGCGUUUUAAGUUAAUAUUUCUACAGAAAAUUCGGCAUGACCUAUUCGUAAAUAGGACUAUCCCCCUGUUUUCAAAUCAAUUAAAUCAAGCUCUUUAAACUAANUGUUUCCUUAUUUACAUAUAAAUGGAUUCAUGUAUCUGAAAAUUUUAAAAGUCUAAUAUACAGAAACUUUUUAUAUCAAGAGUUAAAAUUGUGAAGUGAAAAAAAAAAUACUCCAUUAAUCGGAAAAUAUAACAAAAAGUCGAUCUGAAAUAAUCCGCCCAGACAUGCGGCACCUAAACACAUAAUGAUUGAAAGAAACUAACAGCUUAUCUUUAAAAUGGAAAGUAAUUCAAUAUUAAUACAUUAUACUAUCAAGAAUAACACUCUAACAUUUAACACGUAGCACUUAGCACGUAUCACAUAUUUCCAUACAUUUACUUACCACUUACCAUAAUACUCAAUUUAGAUACUAUUCAAAUCAAAUAUAUACAAGUUGAAUUAAAUAAGCAUAGCAUUAUAACUAUUUAGUUAUAGCAUGCUAGACCCAUGUAUCCAAAAAUUUAAAAGGUCAAAUAUAUAAAAACUUUCUUAUCAAGAGCUAAAAUUAUGGAGUGAAAAAAAAAACUCUAUUAAUUUGAAAUUAUAACAAAAAGUCUUGAUUUGAAAAUUAAAUAUAAUGAACGUGGAAACCGCAAAAAUUAAAUGUAAAUGGUAUUUUAGUAAUUAAUGUCAACAUCAAUAAAAAUCAAAUAAAGUUUGACUUCCCUAUUAACAGUCUAGAUCAAUGUAUUCGAAUAUUUAAAAAUCUAAUAUAUAAAAACUUCCUUAUCGAGAGCUAAAAUUGUGGAGUGAAAAAGUACUCCAUUAAUUUGAAAUUAUAACAAAAGGUCUAGAUUUGAAAAUUAAAUAUAGUGAAUAUGGAAACCACUACAUAUUAUACAAAAAAAGAUUAAUGCCAAAAUCAUCGAAAAUCAAAUAUAUUUUGACUACAUUUCCUUGUACACAUAUGAGUUAUAGUAGGCUAGAUUCAUGUAUCUAGAUGGAAGUUGGGUCAUAUUCAUUCUCGGUGUCUCUUGUCAAAAUACAAUGACACGCAAUAAGAAGUAAACAAAAAACCUUGAUCAGAUGUUGAAAAAAAGUUAAUAUAAAUCUUCACACGGUGAGCAUCCGAUAAUGGCCUAGACGAAUGAUCUCUAUUCAGCAGCUGCAAGGAAAACUCAAUCAUAAAAAAAAAGCUCAAUAAAUGCAUUAUAUGCAUCAUAAUCACUAUCAACGCGAAAGGAAAUUAUGCAAAAAUAAUGUCAAAAAAAUUAAUUACAAAAUAUCAUGUCAUCUAUACAAUAUAAAAAACUUAAAAACUGGAACAAAAAUACAAAAAAAUAGAACAUACACCAAUGCACUGAUUUCACGCAAGACACGUAUCAAAGCAAUUGACACGUACCCCUGCCAGCUUGGUCUCGGACUGAAUUUGACAGAUUAACGAACAAAAUCACAGAUAAAAAUGAUCCAGAUAAAUACCAAAAUAAUUUUUAAAAUCUCCAAAAUAAUUAAAAACUAAUAAAAUAUGAUUUUCAUGAUUUUUGGAUCAUUUUUGAAAUUAAUAGAAACACCCCACUUUAAUCUACAUAGAAAAUCAUUUAGAGCUGAAAAAUUAACAAAAUGUGAUUUUAUGAAUUUUAUAAAUCUCUAAAAAUAUUUAAUGAAAUUAUAAACCGAUAAAAAUGAUUUUAUAGGCAAUACACAAUUUUACAAAAAUCCAAUCACUAUAAAUCCAUAACAAGUAGAAAUCGAUAACACAGCUCAACAAUCCGAUAGAAAUAAAAUACACUGACUUUCGAGAAUACAAUCACAUAAUAAUCAUUUAGAAUUUUCAAAGUAAUAUAUGAAAUUCAUUUAUGAAGAAACAAUUAUAUACCAACAACACAAUAACCCGGAGUUUAAAUAUAACAUUUUGAAAAUUGAAAUGGAAUAAAAUAUUAAAUCUCAUUCCCUUCCUUUAAGAAAAUCACUUUCAUGAUAAUAAAUAGAUUUUAAAAAUUCAGGUCAUUACAAUCUACCCUCCUUAUAAGGAUUCCGUCCUCGGAAUCAAAGAAAGAAGGAGGACACGUAAUCUACUAAUCCACGAAACAUAUAUAGACCAUCACACAAUAUUCAAUUAAAUACAACCAUAAUAUAUAAACAAAUUAGAUCUAUAAUAAUCAUAUCCGAAUUAGAGAUCUGGAAUAUUACAUUCUACCCCCCUUUCAAAGAUUCUGUCCUCAGAAUUCGCGAAUAGAACUAAAACAUACACGCUUCGCAAUAUCGUAUCGUCAUCCACUGUUGAUUAACCUUGGCAUACCCUCACUUUAAGGGAAUAGGAAUCUUAAAUUUUUCGCAAAUGCAGAAUUAACUUCCUGGAAUAAAUCUUUGAGGAUUUGGCCAUAGAAAAAAAAAAUGUUUUCAAAGUAGGUUUCAUCUGAAUAAACGAGUGACUGAGAGAUCAAUAUGAUCCAACGAACUUAGUGUUGCGUGCCCAUAUUAGACACUACUAAAGGUUAUUAGCCUUCUUGUAAUCACAACACACACAAGUGAUGGCGUCCCAUCAAACUUCUAUCACACAGACAGAUGGUCCUUGUGUCCCCUAUAAUAGGGUUGUUCAUCUCAGUUAGAGUUGCAAAUAUGAAAAUUUCAAGAUCCACCAACAAUGAUUGACUUUUGAGAAAUGAAUCUUAAAUACGAACCUUAAGAGUUAAAAUUGAAUAGCUUCCAAAGAUACAAAUUUUUGACAAAAGGACUUCAUGAAUGUCUUUAUAGAAGAGAUAUUAAAACAAUUCACUGACUGUGAAAAUGCUCAAUAAAAUCAAUAUUGAGGAUGGUAUUGCCAAGGCUAUCACAUAUGUCUUCUCGAUCGAUUCUUCUGAUAACUCGUUUCGAUUCUACGAUAAAUAUUAUUAACUUAUAUUCACCUUCGUAGAUCCCGUCACCAAUAUCCACGUUAGGUAGAACACCUGUCGAGCUUGAUACUUUCAGAAGUCAUAUCCAACUUUGCACAAUCAGCAGUGUAGAGCAUUGAGGUUGUAACCUACUCAUAAUACUAUAUCGAGUAGUCUACCACUCUUUCUAUAUAAUUUUCAAAUAAAGAACUAUACACUUGGCCUCUCACAAUGAUCCAUCAAAUCUCAUAUUCCUUCUAUAUGACUUCAUAAGAAUACUAGAUGACCCUCGAACAAAUACUCAAAAAGUGGUAGAGAUGACAAGGAACACUCAAGACUAGAUAGGUCAAUACACAAGUCUAGCUGCCUCUGGUUACUCAGAAAGUCAAACUCAAGUUCAAAAAGAUUGAAAACUAAAGGUUCCAUCAUGUCCCUGAAAUCCAACUCACUAGUUCUCGAAUUAGAAACUAGGAUAUCCCAAAUGAUUACUUGAAAUCAAUGCUCCAAUAUCUACCUCAAUUCUAUCAACAAAGACUAUACCAAAUAGUCUUGACUUAUCUCUAGCUGAGGUCCCACUAAACACAAUCCUAAUACAACCUACAUUCUGAUUUCAAUAACUUAUAACCUGUAGCUCUGAUACCAACUGUGACAGCCCUCAAAUCCGGGGGUCUAGAUUUGGUGCCACUAAAAGAAAACCAAUUGAAAAUCUGUAUGUUUUUUUUUUUUUUAAAAAAAGCAAAAACAAGUAUUUCAAACCUGGAUAUUAAAAAAAAUGAUUUACCCUUUCGAAACAUGUAUUGUUGAAAAGCUAAUAAAAAUCAAAGAAUUUAAAACCUAAAAGCUUUAAUAAAAGAUUUAAAAAAAAACAAAGUUUAACCCCCUUUAAAACAGGAUCGCAAACAGGCUAUAUUAUUGAAAUCAGAAAAGUAAAACUAAUAAAUCUUAUUACAUGUUUUUACAACUAAAACAAGUUUAGACAACUCUAAUUACCACUAGUCCCAAAGACUCGAUCUUGGAUACUCUUCCUGACCAUCAGGUUGAAACUUAGUCACUUGCAAUCCUCGCCUAGCCUUACUCUUAUGCUUAGCCUAAAUAGGCGAACCAUCUUUAACAUUAUCUGAAAGGGGUUAGAAGAAAUAGCAAGAAUGAGCAAAAGAAUGCUCAGCAAGUAUAUAAUAUCCAAACCAACAAUAAAUCAAACAGUAUGUAAAAUCUGACAAUGAUAUAAAGAUAAUGAUACCAACACAAUAUGAUUUAAACAAAACAGUUUCUCCUUUAUGGAAUUGGAACCAGAUAAGACGCUACGAGCUAAGCUGGGUGAUCAGCCCACGACAUAGCUCCGAACCCGCAUAUUCAAUACGAGUUCUCAAAUAUAAAGGAUCCUAGGCACACUUUGGCCUUUAAUAAUUCAAUUGGGACCGGCGCCUCGGUCAUAAAACAUUUUCAUCCAAUUCCCUUUCUAAAACAGAUAAAUCAAAUCAUUUUUCAUUUUAAGACCUAUUUUAUGAAAACUAAUCCACUUCUAACAAUUUAAAUCAACAGACAACUGAAUCAACAGAACAGAAUCAUAAUCAUUAUCAGCAACAGAAAUAUUUCAAAUCAACUUUUGGGAAUCAACAUUUCAUAAACCACAGUCUGUCUUUUGAUAAAUCAUAGUUCAGG
rnacentral:lncRNA from 1 species